CAGUAGCCGCGGUAAUACGAAGGGUGCAGCGUUAAUCGGAAUUACUGGGCGUAAAGGGUGCGUAGGCGGUUAGUUAAGUCUGUCGUGAAAUCCCCGGGCUCAACCUGGGAAUGGCGAUGGAUACUGGCUGGCUAGAGUGUGUCAGAGGAUGGUGGAAUUUCCGGUGUAGCGGUGAAAUGCGUAGAGAUCGGAAGGAACAUCAGUGGCGAAGGCGGCCAUCUGGGACAACACUGACGCUGAAGCACGAAAGCGUGGGGAGCAAACGGGAUUAGAGACCCCGGUAGUCCCUGUCUCUUAUACA
rnacentral:rRNA from 1 species